UAUCUUGCACCCAAGGUAGAGGGGGAGAGGGAUGAGUACAAGCUACAUGAUAAUCUAACUCCUCGCAAGGGCCAUGGACUAUGUGUCUUUAAAACCCCAGUAUUUAGCAUGGGACCUGCCACAGGUGGGUAUUCAGUAAAGGCUGAAUGAAUGAACGGAGACGAGCAGAGGGUUGUGUUCUCUUUCCUAGGGAUAACAGGGAUGCGGGGCUCACAGAUUCCCCUCACGGAAAGAUGGUAUCACACGGAAGGAGAAAAUGAACUGAGUUGCAGUCAAUUAAAUAGAAGAGGAUCUGCUGAUUUGGGCGUUAACACUUCCAACCUGACUCAGAUUCUGUCAGGCCAUAGCUUUAUCUGUUCUGAGGGAGCUACCAUGAAUACAGCGUUCACAAAGGAAAUCUGUUUACAUAUUCCUGGAAGGUUUGGAAAGUUUUUAGUUUUUGCUUUGUCUGGAAGUAAACAGACACUGUGUGUGUGUGUGUGUGUGUGUUUUAAAUCUUUCAAAACCUCUUUUCUAUUGAAGGCAAA